rnacentral:rRNA from 1 species
UACAGAGGGGGCAAGCGUUGUUCGGAAUUACUGGGCGUAAAGGGCGCGUAGGCGGCCAGCACAAGUCAGUUGUGAAAUCUCCGAGCUUAACUCGGAACGGUCAACUGAUACUGUGCGGCUAGAGUGCGGAAGGGGCAACUGGAAUUCUUGGUGUAGCGGUGAAAUGCGUAGAUAUCAAGAGGAACACCUGCGGCGAAGGCGGGUUGCUGGGCCGACACUGACGCUGAGGCGCGAAAGCCAGGGGAGCGAACGGG